GAUGAAGAACGUAGCGAAAUGCGAUAAGUAGUGUGAAUUGCAGAAUUCAGUGAAUCAUCGAAUCUUUGAACGCACAUUGCGCCCCCUGGUAUUCCGGGGGGCAUGCCUGUCCGAGCGUCAUUACAACCCUCAAGCUCAGCUUGGUGUUGGGCCCCGCCGUCCCGGCGGGCCCUAAAGUCAGUGGCGGUGCCGUCCGGCUCCGAGCGUAGUAAUUCUUCUCGCUCUGGAGGUCCGGUCGUGUGCUCGCCAGCAACCCCCAAUUUUUUCAGGUUGACCUCGGAUCAGGUAGGGAUACCCGCUGAACUUAAGCAUAUCAAUAAGCGGAGGA
rnacentral:misc_RNA from 1 species